rnacentral:miRNA from 1 species
AUGGUUGACCACAGAACAUGCG